rnacentral:rRNA from 2 species
CAAGGUUACCUAGCUAUAGCGUCCUGCAGUCGAGCGGAUGAAGAGAGCUUGCUCUCUGAUUCAGCGGCGGACGGGUGAGUAAUGCCUAGGAAUCUGCCUGAUAGUGGGGGACAACGUUUCGAAAGGAACGCUAAUACCGCAUACGUCCUACGGGAGAAAGCAGGGGACCUCCGGGAUCCUAGUGCGUCAUAUACUAGAUGAGACUAUGUGUCGCAUUAGCUAGGUGGUAAGCUAACGGCUCACCAAGGCCAUCGAUCCGUAACUGGUUCUGAGAGGAUGAUCAGUCACACUGGAACUGAAGACACGGUCCAGACUCCUACGGGAGGCAGCAGUGGGGAAUUAUUGGACAAUGGGCGAAAGCCUGAUCCAGCCAUGCCGCGGGUGUGAAGAAGGUCUUCGGAUUGUAAAGCACUUUAAGUUGGGAGGAAGGGCAUUAACCUAAUACGUUAGUGUUUUGACGUUACCGACAGAAUAAGCACCGGCUAACUUCGUGCCAGCAGCCGCGGUAAUACGAAGGGUGCAAGCGUUAAUCGGAAUUACUGGGCGUAAAGCGCGCGUAGGUGGUUUGUUAAGUUGAAUGUGAAAGCCCCGGGCUCAACCUGGGAACUGCAUCCAAAACUGGCAAGCUAGAGUAUGGCAGAGGGUGGUGGAAUUUCCUGUGUAGCGGUGAAAUGCGUAAAUAUAGGAAGGAACACCAGUGGAGAACGCGACCACCUGGGCUAAUACUGACACUGAGGUGUCGAAAGCGUCGGGGAGCAAUACAAGACCAGAUACCCUGCUAGCCCACUGGUGUCCGUAUCAACGAUCUCGACUAGCCGUUGGGAUCCUCGAGAUCUUAGUGAACUUGCCACGACCUAACGCUAUCUAAGCCGACCGCCUGGGGAGGACCGCUCGCAAGGAUAAAACUCGAGGCAAUCGAAUUCGAUACAAGAACCACGCACAAGCGCAUAGAGCAUGAUGCUUCAAUUCGAAGCAACGCGAAGAACCUUACCAGGCCUUGACAUACAGAGAACGGUCCACGAGAUGGAUUGCGGGUGUCAUACGGGAACUCUGACACAGGUAAGAAAACAUGGCUAGUCGAUCAGCUCAUGCUCGUGACCAAAUUGGAUCUAAGUCACGUAACGAGCAGCAACCCUUAUCUCUUAGUUACCAGCACGGGAGAGAUGCGGCACUCUAAGUGAGACAUGCCAGUGACGAAACCGGAGGAAGGUGGCCAUGACGUCAAGUCGAUCAUGGCCCUUACGGCCUGGGCUACACACGUGCUACAAUGGUCGGUACAAAGGGUUGCCAAGCCGCGAGGUGGAGCUAAUCCCAUAAAACCGAUCGUAGUCCGGAUCGCAGUCUGCAACUCGACUGCGUGAAGUCGGAAUCGCUAGUAAUCGUGAAUCAGAAUGUCACGGUGAAUACGUUCCCGGGCCUUGUACACACCGCCCGUCACACCAUGGGAGUGGGUUGCUCCAGAAGUAGCUAGUCUAACCUCGGGGGGACGGUACCACAGAGUGACUGAAUUGG